UGGGGAAUAUUGGACAAUGGAGGAAACUCUGAUCCAGCAAUUCUGUGUGUGUGAAGAAGGUUUUAGGACUGUAAAACACUUUUAGUAGGGAAGAAAAAAAUUACGGUACCUACAGAAGAAGCAACGGCUAAAUACGUGCCAGCAGCCGCGGUAAUACGUAUGUUGCGAGCGUUAUCCGGAAUUAUUGGGCUUAAAGGGCAUCUAGGCGGUAAGACAAGUUGAAGGUGAAAACCUGUGGCUCAACCAUAGGCUUGCCUACAAAACUGUUGAACUAGAGUACUGGAAAGGUGGGUGGAACUACACGAGUAGAGGUGAAAUUCGUAGAUAUGUGUAGGAAUGCCGAUGAUGAAGAUAACUCACUGGACAGAAACUGACGCUGAAGUGCGAAAGCUAGGGGAGCAAACAGG
rnacentral:rRNA from 1 species